rnacentral:misc_RNA from 1 species
UCAAAUCCAACAACUUUUGCAUCAUAAGUAGUUUGAUCAGCAAGAGUCACUCUGAGAUCAGAAGCACCUCGAAUCACAUGAUAAUUAGUAACAAUAUUUCCAUUUUUAUCCCAGACGAAGCCUGACCCAGACCCUUGAGGCACCUCAAAUACAUCCAGUGUGAACAUAUCCUGCCUGGAAGCAAGAUUAGUAAUAUACACAACGGAAGGUGUAUUCUCUUGGAAGAGACGAACAGUAGCAAGUUCAUCAGUCUGCAAUUUCCUGGGUGAAGUGACUACAAAAGCCGAGGCAGGGUCAACGUCUGCUAUAUAGAGAGAGAAAGACAAGGCAACGGAAGUGCAUGCCACAAAAAUAUUAUCCAUAAGCUUCUUCCCGUAGUUGGACUGGUCACCGGAAGAGGCAUAGUUAGAGCAAAUACGCCGAGCGCAGACCACACUGCCGGAGAAACCAGGUAUUUUCCGGCAGAGUAAAGACUUAGCAAGUUGAAAUCGAUCUGAGCCGGAAAAUUUCCGUGCCGGAGUUGUGGAGAAGCAAGCAGAAGAAGCUAAGGAGUGUGAAGAUGCAGCCAUUGUUAAGAAGACAACUGGUGAGAGCAAAGAGGAAGACCCG